AGUUACUUAACUUUUCGGAAAGUAGAUGUUUUGAAAACAUUAAAAAAGAGUUCGACUCUCUUAGUAACUU
rnacentral:tRNA from 2 species